UGCUAUCGGGAUAGGAUAAGACAUGCUAGUCGUGCGUCCUUCGGCCAUGAGAAGGACGCGGCGCACAGCUCAGUAGCACGUGGCUAACCUGCCCUUGGGACGGGAAUAACCCCGGGAAACUGGGGUAAUUCCCGAUAGGUGAAGAACUCCGGAAUGAGUCUUCGCUGAAAGGGCGUUACGUCAUGCUCGUAGGCGCUGCCCAAGGAUGGGGCCGCGGCCGAUCAGGUUGUUGGUGAGGUAACGGCUCACCAAGCCUAUACCGGUGCGGGCCGUGAGAGCGGGAGCCCGGAGAUGGGCACUGAGACAAGGGCCCAGGCCCUACGGGGCGCAGCAGUCGCGAAAACUUUGCAAUACACGAAAGUGUGACAGGGCUAUCCCGAGUGCCGUCCGCUGAGGAUGGCUUUUGCCCAGUCUAGCAAGCUGGGGGAAUAAGGAGAGGGCAAGUCUGGUGUCAGCCGCCGCGGUAAUACCAGCUCUCCGAGUGGUGGGGACGUUUAUUGGGCCUAAAGCAUCCGUAGCUGGCCGUUCAAGUCCCCUGUUAAACCCAGCGAUUUAAUCGCUGGUCUGCGGGGGAUACUGUUCGGCUAGGGGGCGGGAGAGGCAGACGGUAUUUCCGGGGUAGGGGUGAAAUCCUAUAAUCCCGGGAAGACCACCAGUGGCGAAGGCUGUCUGCUAGAACGCGCCCGACGGUGAGGGAUGAAAGCUGGGGGAGCGAACCGGAUUAGAUACCCGGGUAGUCCCAGCUGUAAACUAUGCAGGCUAGGUGUUUGGGCGGCCACGGGCCGCUCUAGUGCCGCAGGGAAGCUGUUAAGCCUGCCGCCUGGGGAGUACGGCCGCAAGGCUGAAACUUAAAGGAAUUGGCGGGGGAGCACCACAAGGGGUGAAGCUUGCGGUUU
rnacentral:rRNA from 1 species